AUGUCGUUGUCGUCGCCGCCGUCGAGUUCCGAAGACAUGAUACUGAAGCUCUUGUUUGCGCCUCAUCCCCCCAACAUUUUUGCAUCCGCCUUGAAGAAUUCGUUAGGGCAAUUUUCAGUGGCCCAAGAACACAACUGGAUCUUUUUCGGCUUUGAGGCCCAGGCCCAACCAUUGAAAUUUUAACUUCGGCCAUCUUUCUUCGCGGGAAAGUUUCCUUUGUGGCCUGUGACAUUGCAUACGCAGAUUCCAGAAGACUAUCGACGCGACAAUUUCUUAGAUCCAGACGGUAUAAAUCGUGCGUUUGUGCAGUACUCGGAGUUCGGAACACCAUGAUACGGGCGGUGAUAGUGAUGAAUACACAGGGAAAGCCUCGGUUUGCUAAGUUCUACGAUUUUCAGCCCAUCGAGAAGCAGCUGGAGCUCAUUCGUAGCGUCUAUGGAGUACUCUGCAGUCGAGCUGAGAACGUCAGCAAUUUCGUGGAAGCUGAGUCCAUCUUCGGUCCGGACUCUCGUCUUGUAUACAAACACUUCGCCACCCUUUAUUUUGUGUUUGUCUUUAACAGUUCUGAGAAUGAGCUCGCCAUGCUUGACCUGAUACAAGAUGCAUACUAUUUUUGAUGAAAUCAUUUCCGGUAGCCAAGUGCUAGAGACUUGUUCUUCUGAAGUAUUGAAGACUGUCGAAGAAAUAUCCAAGUUAGAAGCAGCGUCAAAUUCCAUCAACUUCGUAUCCAAAACAGUUUCGGGUUGGCGGGGUUGAGUUUUCUGUUUUAAGCGAGCUUGUUAAACAAUAAAGUACGCCAUUUGAA